GCAGCCAUUUUGUUAGCUAGCUUGAGGUUAAAAGAGGUUAGCCGUGUGCAGCUGUGUUGGUAUACUCGCUUUGGUGGUGAAAUUGCGUCGAACUCGAUAACUCGUCGAAGUUGUUAUUGACGUACAAUUUUCGGCCACGCGCUCGUAAGCACGAGGAGGAGUCGUGUAUUUGUUGACAGCGCGUUGUAAAACUGGACGGCCAUUCAUUUUUCGAGCUGACUUCAGUGUGCUAGCUCAGUGGCUAGCUGGCUAACUUGUUUACGAGUGUCAUUUCUGGCAAAGAAACCAUCCCGGCUUUCAUGCCACCAGCUGUUAAACGCGAAAGAGUCGCAGAGUGACUGUUUCACGCAGUUCGCGUGUCUGCGCUUGUGUUACAUUAGCUUCGCGCACAGUUAACAGAAGUAAACUAAAAGCCAGGGGUAGAUCCGCUCGCACCACUCUGGUGUUUACUGAUAACUUGAGCUCUCUCAGCUGACCGUGCUUGGACCAGAGCUCAGCCAUCCUGGACACCAUGUCAGAGCUUUACAUUCGGGUGGCUGAGGAAGAAAAUGAGGAACCCAUGGAGAUCCCGUCAGAGGACGAUGGCACUGUUUUGCUGUCAUCCGUAGCAGCGCAGUUUCCAGGGGCUUGCGGGCUGCGAUACAGAAACCCAGAGACCCAGUGCAUGAGGGGAGUCCGGCUUGUGGAGGGUGUCCUGCACCCACCGGAGAACGACUGGGGAAACCUGGUGUACAUUGUCAAUUACCCCAAAGAUAACAAAAGAAAGAUGGAGGAAAUAGACGCUGCCACAGUUGUGAAAAUUAAAAGGGGCUUUCAGAAGACAUCGGAUCUUAUUGUCCUCGGGUUGCCAUGGAAAACAACAGAACAAGACCUCAAGGAUUAUUUCAGUACCUUUGGAGAGGUCAUCAUGGUGCAGGUGAAGAGAGAUGCAAAAACUGGCAAUUCAAAAGGUUUUGGGUUCGUCCGGUUCACCGACUACGAGACGCAAACCAAAGUCAUCGCUCAGAGACACAUGAUUGACGGGAGAUGGUGUGACUGUAAACUUCCCAAUUCAAAGGCAUGUCCCGAUGAGCCGAUGCGGAGCCGUAAAAUCUUUGUUGGUCGCUGCACAGAGGACAUGACAACUGAUGAUCUGAGGCAGUACUUCAUGCAGUAUGGUGAAGUCACAGACGUCUUCAUUCCCAAACCUUUCCGGGCGUUUGCUUUUGUCACAUUUGCUGAUGACCAGGUUGCCCAAGCUCUGUGUGGAGAGGACCUGAUCAUCAAGGGUGUCAGUGUGCACAUCUCCAAUGCUGAGCCCAAACACAAUAAUAGUAGGCAAAUGAUGGAUCGAGGGCGUUUCGGGGCUGUUCACCAACUCUUUCCCAAUUUCCCGGGAGGAAGCGCCUCAUUGGCAGCAAUGUUCGACAGAUCUCAGUAUCAUUUCCCCUCCUCCCAUGUGUAAAUGCUUUGUCAUCCAAGAACACAGCUUCACUCUGCAUAUACUGUUUUAGACGGGACCUCGGACACGGAAAGCCCAGGUUUUCGUCUGAAUGAAGGUUGGAGUCAGUUGCGUGGAAGACGAAGCCUUUGUUGGGUGUGCCGGUGCAAACCACAAUGAACCUUAAUCCUGAAAAGGAUCUUCUUCACCUCACUUGCAAGAAACCUUGGACCACCAAAUUUAGAGCGGACCAUACUCGGUGACAAUCAAGGUAUUUUUUUUUUUUUUGUCAUACAUAAAGUUGUCACAGUUGGGACGAAAGUAACACCUGCUGCAGCGAUCAUUCUUUUGUCUGGUCCCCAAUCUGUGAGACAGGUCUUGCUUUUCUAAAACUGGGUGUUUGUCAGUAAACACUUUAUUCUUUUGUCUCCCAACAGUCACUUACAUCAAAGUAUUAACCAGUCGGGUGUUUGAUGUGGUCAAAAAUGAUAUCGGUGUAGCAGGAAGCUGUCUUGUUCUGUUUACCUUGAUUGUAAAGUGGCUGAAAUGUAUCACCUGGCUGAUCCUUUUUUCUUUUUUUUUCCUCAUCAAAGGGACUUAACUGACUGAACAGCAGCAAUUCACACAUUGUAUUCUGACAUAUUAGUAUUGCAUUGUUAAAUAAAGGUUUGGAGUUUUUAAUCAUUGUGGUCUCUCAAUGUAGAUAAAAUGUGACUUUUUUUCAGGCCAUAAUCUCUAGUUUUCCUUGCUUUUAAUCCAUAUCUCUUUUUAGGAUUUAUUUGAAAACACGGAUUCAAUUCAGAUUUAGUCUUUUUGUUAAAACUGCUCUAGCAUCCUGCAGAAAGCUAGCUCAUAUAUAAUGUAUAUAGAAGAUUGACUAUAUAAACAGACUCUUUACAGUCUUUGUUGGUGGAUGUAAUUUAUAUUUUCCUCCUGAUGAUGGUGCUGUUGUACAGUUUUUGCUGAUUGUUGGACAGGACUCACAUCCCCUUCAUAUAUUAAAAUUUGAUAUUUUCCAUUUUUAAAUGGC